rnacentral:rRNA from 1 species
GAUGAACGCUGGCGGCGUGCCUAAUACAUGCAAGUCGAGCGAACGGACGAGAAGCUUGCUUCUCUGACGUUAGCGGCGGACGGGUGAGUAACACGUGGAUAACCUACCUAUAAGACUGGGAUAACUUCGGGAAACCGGAGCUAAUACCGGAUAAUAUUUUGAACCGCAUGGUUCAAUAGUGAAAGACGGUCUUGCUGUCACUUAUAGAUGGAUCCGCGCUGCAUUAGCGAGUUGGUAAGGUAACGGCUUACCAAGGCAACGAUGCGUAGCCGACCUGAGAGGGUGAUCGGCCACACUGGAACUGAGACACGGUCCAGACUCCUACGGGAGGCAGCAGUAGGGAAUCUUCCGCAAUGGGCGAAAGCCUGACGGAGCAACGCCGCGUGAGUGAUGAAGGUCUUCGGAUCGUAAAACUCUGUUAUUAGGGAAGAACAUAUGUGUAAGUAACUGUGCACAUCUUGACGGUACCUAAUCAGAAAGCCACGGCUAACUACGUG